AUGAACGCUGGCGGCGUGCCUAAUACCUGCAAGCCGAGCGAACAGACGAGGAGCUUGCUCCUCUGACGUUAGCGGCGGACGGGUGAGUAACACGUGGAUAACCUACCUAUAAGACUGGGAUAACUUCGGGAAACCGGAGCUAAUACCGGAUAAUAUAUUGAACCGCAUGGUUCAAUAGUGAAAGACGGUUUUGCUGUCACUUAUAGAUGGAUCCGCGCCGCAUUAGCUAGUUGGUAAGGUAACGGCUUACCAAGGCAACGAUGCGUAGCCGACCUGAGAGGGUGAUCGGCCACACUGGAACUGAGACACGGUCCAGACUCCUACGGGAGGCAGCAGUAGGGAAUCUUCCGCAAUGGGCGAAAGCCUGACGGAGCAACGCCGCGUGAGUGAUGAAGGUCUUCGGAUCGUAAAACUCUGUUAUUAGGGAAGAACAAAUGUGUAAGUAACUAUGCACGUCUUGACGGUACCUAAUCAGAAAGCCACGGCUAACUACGUG
rnacentral:rRNA from 1 species